rnacentral:rRNA from 1 species
UACGUAGGGGGCUAGCGUUGUCCGGAAUCAUUGGGCGUAAAGAGCGUGUAGGCGGUCCGGUAAGUCCGCUGUGAAAGUCGGGGGCUCAACCCUCGAAUGCCGGUGGAUACUGUCGGGCUAGAGUGCGGAAGAGGCGAGUGGAAUUCCUGGUGUAGCGGUGAAAUGCGCAGAUAUCAGGAGGAACACCGAUGGCGAAGGCAGCUCGCUGGGACGGUACUGACGCUAAGGCGCGAAAGCGUGGGGAGCGAACAGG